UGAGGUAGUAGGUUGUUUAGUUGUGGGUUGCACCCUGACGUUUGGAUAACUAUACAAUCUACUGUCUUUC
rnacentral:pre_miRNA from 1 species